rnacentral:sRNA from 1 species
GUCGGGUUCGGGAUGAAGUGGUUGACCCGGUCGCCGAUGACGGCCCACGUGCGCUUGCCGUCGCGCAGCAUCUGCACGCCGCGGCGCUUGAACCUCUU